AUUGAACGCUGGCGGCAUGCCUUACACAUGCAAGUCGAACGGCAGCGGGCCUUCGGGUGCCGGCGAGUGGCGAACGGGUGAGUAAUGCAUCGGAACGUGCCAUUGAGUGGGGGAUAACGUAGCGAAAGUUACGCUAAUACCGCAUAUUCUGUGAGCAGGAAAGCAGGGGACCGCAAGGCCUUGCGCUCUUUGAGCGGCCGAUGUCAGAUUAGCUAGUUGGUGAGGUAAAAGGCUUACCAAGGCGACGAUCUGUAGCGGGUCUGAGAGGAUGAUCCGCCACACUGGAACUGAGACACGGUCCAGACUCCUACGGGAGGCAGCAGUGGGGAAUUUUGGACAAUGGGCGCAAGCCUGAUCCAGCCAUGCCGCGUGAGUGAAGAAGGCC
rnacentral:rRNA from 1 species